GUCGAACGGUAACAGAAAAAGCUUGCUUUUUGCUGACGAGUGGCGAACGGGUGCGUAACGCGUAUGCAACCUACCUUCUUCUGAGGAAUAGCCCAGAGAAAUUUGGAUUAAAACCUCAUGAUAAUAUUUAUUCGCAUGUUUAAAUAUUUAAAAUUUCGAUGGAAGAAGAUGGGCAUGCGCAACAUUAGUUUGUUGGUGAGGUAAUGGCUCACCAAGACUACGAUGUUUAGGGGGUCUGAGAGGAUGAUCCCCCACACUGGUACUGAGACACGGACCAGACUCCUACGGGAGGCAGCAGUGAGGAAUAUUGGUCAAUGGACGAAAGUCUGAACCAGCCAUGCCGCGUGAAGGAUGACUGCCCUACGGGUUGUAAACUUCUUUUGUAUAGGAAGAAACCCCUCUACGUGUAGAGGGUUGACGGUACUACUCGAAUAAGCACCGGCUAACUCCGUGCCAGCAGCCGCGGUAAUACGGAGGGUGCGAGCGUUAUCCGGAAUUAUUGGGUUUAAAGGGUGCGUAGGCGGAAAUUUAAGUCAGUGGUGAAAGCCUGCAGCUUAACUGUAGAAUUGCCAUUGAUACUGAAUUUCUUGAAUCUAAUUGAAGUAGGCGGAAUAUGACAUGUAGCGGUGAAAUGCUUAGAUAUGUCAUAGAACACCGAUAGCGAAGGCAGCUUACUAAGUUAGUAUUGACGCUAAUGCACGAAAGCGUGGGGAGCGAACAGGAUUAGAUACCCUGGUAGUCCACGCCGUAAACGAUGAUUACUCGCUAUUGGCGAUACACUGUCAGUGGCUAAGCGAAAGUGAUAAGUAAUC
rnacentral:rRNA from 1 species